rnacentral:rRNA from 1 species
GUUCAAGAGUACGUGAAACCGUUAAGAGCCAAACGGAUGGACCCUUGAAGGUCGAACUUGGGGAUUCAGCUCGUCGGCUGUCGGCUGGGCGCGGGUGUUCGUUAAGUCGCAGCGACCCGAGAGAGCUCGGGCGCGCUCGCCCCCACGCCGGCGCCGGCUGGCGUAUUUCCCCUCGUAGUAGGGCGCCGCGACCCGUCGCUGGGGACGUCGAAGGCUCUGGCGGAUUGGUACCCCACCUCCUACCGCGUUAGCGCGUUCCGGGUGGGCGAAACCGCCGGGGAUCCUGGCUGCCCUGCGACGGUCGUAGAGACGAGUCCUCCCCUCGCGGGCGGGCUCUCGCGGCGUGCAAAAAGAUCGGUGAUCCAUCCGACCCGUCUUGAAACACGGACCAAGGAGUCUAACAUGUGUGCGAGUCAGUGGGCGCACUAAACCCAAGGGCGCAAUGAAAGUGACAGGUCCGGCGUGCGCGUCGUUCUGCGGCGCGGCCGCCGGAGCCGGGGCCGAUCCCCCGCCGGCUGCCUUGUCCGCGGGGGCGUCGGAGCGCGAAGGCGCGUGAGACAUGAUCAUCCUGUUCGCAGGGGGGCGCAGGCCCGGGACUUGCCAAGACGCCGCCAGGCUCCGCGAAGCUCCGAGCGGGUCAUGCAGUCGGCAAGUACCACGAGCAGAUAUGUUGGGCCCGAAAGAUGGUGAAUUAUGCCUGGCCAGGAUGAAGCCAGAGGAAACUCUGGUGGAGGU